CCUACGGGAGGCAGCAGUAAGGAAUAUUGGACAAUGCUCGCAAGAGUGAUCCAGCCAUGCCGCGUGCAGGAAGAAUGCCCUAUGGGUAGUAAACUGCUUUUGAACUAGAGAAAAUCCCAGUACGUGUACUGGGCUGAUAGUAUAGUUAGAAUAAGCAUCGGCUAACUUCGUGCCAGCAGCCGCGGUAAGACGAAGGAUGCAAGCGUUAUCCGGAUUCAUUGGGUUUAAAGGGAGCGUAGGUGGACUGAUAAGUCAGUGGUGAAAUCUCCGAGCUUAACUCGGAAAUUGCCAUUGAUACUGUUGGUCUUGAGUACAGUUGCUGUGGGCGGAAUAUGACAUGUAGUGGUGAAAUACAUAGAGAUGUCAUAGAACACCGAUUGCGAAGGCAGCUCACAAAGCUGUAACUGACACUGGAGCGUACGAAGUAGCGGGAGUACAACAGAGUAGUAUACCUACGGUAGUCGCGACCGUAACCGUAGUAGUAUACUCGUCGU
rnacentral:rRNA from 1 species